CUCCCCACCCCCCCAGGCCCCUGAGGCCGCCCGCACAUGCGCAGUGCUGUGCGCCGACCCUGGGGCGAAGCCAAGGCCACCGAGGGGCCGAGUAAGCGGCCCAGGGUGUCAGCCAGGCGGCUCUAGAUCGGCCCGUGGCCGCUCGGGCCCGCACACCUUUCCCUACACCCGUCCCGGCUCCGCACUCACUUGUAGCCCACGUCACACCAGUUCAGCGUCCUCGAAUGGGCUGCAACAGGAUGCGGUGGGGGCUCGGGUCUCAUCUCUCUUCCUCCCGGAGGGACUGAGGUACAAAAGCCAUGCAUCAGAGCAUCAUCCUUGACCAAACUGUACCGUGUCCCCUCUUGUGUUGAGUACCCCAGCCCAUAGCAGGCGCCGAAUAUAUACUGAAUGACUGGUAAGUAUCCAGCUCACUCCCUGGUCAUGUUGCUGUUAUCGCCCAAAUAUCUUACGAAUCAGACCACCCUGGUUUAUUUCCACUCUCCCCACCUGGGUCCAGUCACCGUCUCCUUGCACCUGGAUUUUCUCCCACCCCCUCAGUGACUUUCCAGCAUGCACCUUGGCCCCCAUGAGGCCGAGGCUCAGCUCUGAUCAAGCGACCCUCAAACGUGAGUCACCGUUUUCUGUGGCUUCUCACGACUCUUAGGAUGGAUCCCAAGCACUUCGCCACGGCCUGCCUUCAACCUAGUCUCACCCGACUCACUCCUGAGGCCCUCUUCCCCUAGCUUCCCUGCCCUUCUUGCCGCCCUUGAGGAUGCUUUGACUACCCUGUCCCCAGGGGACUUUCUCCGCACUGUGUGCAAGGUUUGUUUAUUUAUUUAU